GAGCACCCUCUAUCCAAGCUGACAACCAUCAGCACAUUGUCAAGCUCUGAAGGCAGGCCCUGGAACUCAUGAUCACAAACAGAUACAUUUUAAAAAUCAACCAAAGAAAAGAGCUGCUUUGCUUUUCACCAAAGGAAACUGACAGAGGUAACUGCUAGAAAAAUAAGGAGAAAUACUUAAAACACUUUCUAUUCAGAGAAGUGAAGUGAGAUCUUCUGGCAUUCAAGGAUUCGAAAUACUACCUAUAAAAUAAUGAGGCCACAGGCGUCAAGAAUAGAAAACACUCUGCAUGUUUGAAAAGCAAAGCUCACGUACCCAGAGUCCUCCACUGCCUACUACCUGCUAAAGAAGCAUCACCAAGGAGAAUGACACAAGCACAGCAUGGAAGAAAGAACAAUGGACUGCGUGUCAGGAAGCCAUCAACCUCUUACUGACUAGCUGUCACUGCUCUGGGUCUCAGAGUCUUCAUCUGCCAAGUGACUACCCACUUCGAGGAGGGAGAAAUGCUGACUGCAGUGGUUCACGCCCAUAAUCCCAGGGAGACUGAGGCGGGAGGACUGCUUGAGCUCCGGAGUUCAAGACCAGCCUGGGC